UCUCAUUUACAGUGUCACUCUCACUCCUUUGUCUCUCGCUUCUUCCUUCUCUCUGUAAUAUUUCUUUUGCUUAAACUCCAAUUGCUUGAAGCACUUAAGCAUGUGAACUAUAAAGGAAGAAUCUAAAUUGUUUGCAUUACAUGUGAUAUCGGCCAUUUCAGCGACACAAUCUAUUUGCUAUUGGCUGCAAUAUUUGCGUGUGAAUUUUCAGUACAGAUAACACAACUGAGAAAAGCCAAGUUGACAAGUCAAUACUUGUUACUAAUUUCUUGGUUCUUAUUUGAUUAUGAACACAGUAGUCAAAGAUUUCUG
rnacentral:misc_RNA from 1 species